AUUGAACGCUGGCGGCAGGCUUAACGCAUGCAAGUCGAGCGGAGAUGAGGUGCUUGCACCUUAUCUUAGCGGCGGACGGGUGAGUAAUGCUUAGGAAUCUGCCUAUUAGUGGGGGACAACAUUCCGAAAGGAAUGCUAAUACCGCAUACGUCCUACGGGAGAAAGCAGGGGAUCCUCGGACCUUGCGCUAAUAGAUGAGCCUAAGUCGGAUUAGCUAGUUGGUGGGGUAAAGGCCUACCAAGGCGACGAUCUGUAGCGGGUCUGAGAGGAUGAUCCGCCACACUGGGACUGAGACACGGCCCAGACUCCUACGGGAGGCAGCAGUGGGGAAUAUUGGACAAUGGGGGGAACCCUGAUCCAGCCACGCCGCGUGUGUGAAGAAGGCCUUAUGGUUGUAAAGCACUUUAAGCGAGGAGGAGGCUACUGAGACUAAUACUCUUGGAUAGUGGACGUUACUCGCAGAAUAAGCACCGGCUAACUCUGUGCCAGCCGCCGCGGUAA
rnacentral:rRNA from 1 species